UACAGAGGUGGCAAGCGUUGUUCGGAAUUACUGGGCGUAAAGGGCGAGUAGGUGGCCAUCUAAGUCAGACGUGAAAUCCCCCGGCUUAACCUGGGAACUGCGUCUGAUACUGGACGGCUUGAGUAUGGGAGAGGAACGGUAGAAUUCCAGGUGUAGCGGUGAAAUGACGUAGAUAUCGGGAAGAACACCAGUGGCGAAGGCGACUACCUGGCCUGUUCUUGACGCUGAGGCGCGAAAGCUAGGGAGCAACGGG
rnacentral:rRNA from 1 species